AAGCGCGCGCAGGCGGUUUCUUAAGUCUGAUGUGAAAGCCCACGGCUCAACCGUGGAGGGUCAUUGGAAACUGGGGAACUUGAGUGCAGAAGAGAAAAGCGGAAUUCCACGUGUAGCGGUGAAAUGCGUAGAGAUGUGGAGGAACACCAGUGGCGAAGGCGGCUUUUUGGUCUGUAACUGACGCUGAGGCGCGAAAGCGUGGGGAGCAAACAGGAUUAGAUACCCUGGUAGUCCACGCCGUAAACGAUGAGUGCUAAGUGUUAGAGGGUUUCCGCCCUUUAGUGCUGC
rnacentral:rRNA from 1 species